ACAGGCUGCACCUUUACUGCUUCAGAGUGUUUGCUGUGUGUAACUGCAAGAUGAUUAAGAGGUACAGGAGUAGUUUGGUUGAAGAUAUUUCUGCAGAUAGGAAUUGUAAAUAUUCACAUACAUUUCUCCAACAUCCAACAAAUAUAAUGGAUGCUAAGUAGGUGCAAGAUGAAAGGGGUUGUGGUGGAUGAAGGGGGAUAAGGGUUGAAGUGGGUGCAAUCUGAUAGAGGUUGUAGUGAGUGCAGAGAGUAAUAGAGGCUGUAGUCAGUGUGUUUAGACAUUUUAGCGAGUGCAGGCAUAUUUAGUGGGUGUAGAGGGGAUAGGAGCUGUAGUGGGUGUAGGGGAGGCAUAGGAGCUGUAAUGGGUGCAAGGAAAACAGAGGCUGUAGUGGGUGCAGGUGGAUAGAGGCUCUAGUGGGAGCAGGCUGUAUUUAGUUGGUGCAGGGGCAUAGGGGCUCUAGUGGUUGUAGAGGAAGGAUAGGGGCUGUAGUUGGUACCAGAAGGAUAGGGGCUGUAGUGGGUGCAGGGGUGAUAGGGUCUAUAGGGGAUAAUAGUCAGUAUAUGGGCUAUAGGGGAUAAUAGGGGCUGUAGUUGUGGCAGGGGGUAAUAGUGACUGUAGUGGAUGCAGUGGGUAAUAGGGGUUGUAGUGGGUACAGGGGUUAUAGUGGCUGUAGUUGGUACAGGGAUAAUAGGGGCUAAUGUGGGUGCAAGGGGUAAAAAGGUUUUUAGUGGAUACAGGGGGCAUAGGGGCUGUUGUGAGUACAGGGGUAAUAGGGACUUUAGUGGGUGCAGUGGGGAUAGCAACUGUAGUUGGUGCUGGGGAGGGUUAGAGGUUGUAGUGGGAGCAGGGGUAACAGAGACUGUAGUGUAUGCAGGGUGUAUUAGGGGCUUUAGUGGGUGGAGGGUGAACGGAGCUUUAAUGGCUGCAGCGUAUAAAGGCUGUAGUGGGUAUAACAGCUGUAGUGGGUAUAGAGGCUGUAGUGAGUGUAGGGGGUAAUAAGGGCUGUAGUGAGUGCAGUCAUGAAAGGGUUUGUAGUGGUCUUCGGGGAGGGAUAGGGAGGGAUAGAUAGAGGCUGUAUUGGGUGCCCUGUAUACACACUAUAGCCCCUUUUCCUGCUGCCCUGUAUACACACUACAGCCCCUGUGUCUGCUGCAGCCACUUCAGCCCCUAUGCACCCUCUACAGCUCCUAUCCCACUGCAUCCAUGAAAACUAAUUUUACUCCCUGCACCCACUAAGCCUCUAAUACUUCCUGCACUCACUACUGCCCUAUUUGACUUUCCCUCUGCAUCCACUACAUCCCCUAUUGUCCCCUGCACCCAUUAUAGCCACUAUUACGCCUUGUACCCACUAAUCCCUUAUUACCCCCUAUAGCCCGUAUCCCUUCCCACUACAGUCUUUACCACCCAAUAUAGCCCCUAUUCCUGGCAUUCUGCACCCGCUACAGACUCUAAUACUCUUUGCACCCACUACAGUCUCUAUCCCGAUGCACCCAAUACAGCCCCUAUGCCCCCUGCUCCCACUACAGUCCCACUUCCUUCCCUGCACCACACUAAACCCUUUAUUCCUUUUGCACCCACAACAGUGUCUAUUGCCUCAUUCACACACUACUGCUUCUAACACUCCACUGCACCCACUACAGCCUCUAUCCAUCCCUUGCACCCACUACAGCCCCACGAUUAUCCCUCACCUACACCCACUAUAUGCUCUAUAACUCCUGCGACCACUAAAUAGGAUUUAAUGGUGGAAAUUAUAAGUGCCCCCCUGUGUAUUGUUCCUAGAGUUGCCACUCCCUUAAACCACAAUCCUCCUCCUUGUGUUUCUCUGGAUACGUCUUAUUCUUUUGUUAUUGUAUAUUUUAUAUUUUAGCUUCAAUUUUUUGUUGUAUCUAAUCUAUGUUUAUCCACAUUUGUCUGUAUGUCUAUCAGUUUGUGGUCUGUAUUAUCUAUAUUUCUCACCGGAUCUGCCUCAGGUUUUUCAUUCCAUCUCAUCACAUCUCUCAAACUUUAUGAUGUUUGUCUCUGGAUCUAUGUAUCAGUUUUGUGUUUCAUCUCAUCUGCAUGUCUCAAAAUAACUGUCUUAGUAUUUUCCUUCCCACACUGUCAACCUGUCAAUUGUCAGCAUAAAUUGACAAUAUAUGAGCAAGCCAUUGAACCGCAAUGCAAAACCCAGGUUUACAAUAUAUAUAUAUAUUAUGAUUUUGGUUGAAACUACCUCCAGAAACUAUAUACAUAUCUUAUGGGGAACUAAAACUAAUUAUUACAUUUUGUUUAGUAGGACAUAUACGUGUUAUGGACACUCUGGGGCAGGCUCAAUACUAUUAAGUACCCAAAUAUUAAACUGAUUUUUUUUUUUUGGGGGGGGGUGGGGCGGGGUUAUCAUACAGAUUCUAAGGGGUUUGUAAUACAACCAUUGGAGGUAACAUCUGGUUAACAGACUUUCGGUAGCACAGCAUUCUGUGAAACUUAUCAUAAUAAGAUAAAACGCAUUAAGUGGAUUCUUCUCUAAUUUGGUUUGAUGUAUAUACUGUGUGAAAUUAAAUGUUACUGUUCCCACAUUAUUUUCCAUCUGCAUGUUGAUAGCCAAAAAUAGAAUACCAUUUCCACCCAUCCUGGGAAGCAAAGAGAUUAAACCACAUAUAAAAGAAGGAAUUUCUGCAGUCUGUAUUGUCUACAAUUUUUUUUUUAUUCCUAUGCUAGAUUAGACGCAUGUAAAUAAAAUGUGUCAAUUAGCAAUAAUUUCUUUGGAAUAAAAUCUUAAAUCAAAACAGCUGUAUUCUUUGUCCUGAUGUCUUUGAGAGUACGCCAUCAAGCCCUUAUGUUCGUAUCAUAUGAAUGUUUAUUGCAUUUUGUAUAGAAAUUCUGGAUUUUCAGCUUGUGCAAAAGUUCCACUAUUUUGUUAUUGGGUGCCUAGGUAAAGUUUACUAAAAAAAAGAAAACCAAAAUACUAAUUAAAAAGUAAUUGCUACAAUUACAUGAUUAAGCAGCCUAUACAGGCGGUCAGACCAGACCCAAUUGUCUCCUUCAUUCCUGCCAAUUACCCCACCCCCCCAGCGCCAAUCAUCCUGCUAGGUCUCAGACCCUUAUAAUAAGCUAUUUCACCUAUCCCCAUGAGUUACCCCACGAUAUUAUCUGCUCUUUAUAUCUCUAACUGGUUUGCUCAUAUUGUAAUCCAUAUUGUAUACUGUGCACCUAUUAUUCACUGUACACCGUAGCUUUAAAUCACAAUCAGCCAAUCACCAAUAGGUUUGGCUAACCGUUUAUAUUGUAAUAAAAAAAUAAAAAAGUGUGCGAUAAUCUAUACACACUUAACUGACCCUUUGUUCACAUAUUGAUUUUGCUGUGUUGUCUCCUCACUAGUAUAUAUGUCUAAGCAGUGCAAAAAAAAUACUAAUAAUAAAAAAGUAAUUAACAGUAAUGAUCAAAUAUUGAAUAAAACUUUCUAUAACACACAGGGUCAAAUAAAAAAAAAUAAAAAAAAUGCUUACCCUUUAAAAAAAUUGUUCCACCGAGGACAAAACUGUGUCAGUCAGGUUUUAGAUAUUAAAAAUGAAAGGAGUUGUAGAGAUUGGUAACAGAAUAUGUAGUAGCAUCACUUUUCAAGUUUUGAAAAACUCCAAAGUUUUAUUUAAAAGACUUUUUAAAGUAAUAUCGUAACUUUCAGUCUAGUGAGAGAAUGAUAGCACAAAACAUGACAAAUCAUGUUACAACUUGAUCAGAAAGAUAUCUAUCGUUUAGGUAGCCUGGUACUAAAAAAAUCUAAAACAUUUAUUCUAUGGGUGUGAUUUUUUUUUAUUUAUUUUUUUAUUUUUAAAAAUACUUUAAACAAGUUCCAAGAGAAUAUUAAAAAAAAGACUGAAUGGUUCAAGAAAAUAAUAAUAGUAAUAAUAAUAAUAAUAAUAAUAAUAAUAAUAAAUAGCUUCACACUUAAGUUCCUCUGUGUAAAUAGAAUAUAGACUACAGCACAUAGAAAGAAAAAGAUUAAAGAAUAUCAAUAUACAUAUACUCAUAUAAACUAGACUCAAUUAGAUGGCAUAAUGUAGCAUGCAAAAAAAGAGAAAAGAGCAAAAUAAUAGUGUAAUUCUGUUUUAAAUGUGGACAAUAUCUUUAUUUAUAUUAUGUGUGUGAGGGUAAGUGAGAAUCCUAUUUUUUCCAGAAUAAAUAUUUUUUAUUUUAUACUAAAGGAACAUUCUAUAUGCACAGACUCUAUCCUCCAGUGACAUUGCUGUUGUCUUCUGAGAACAGGAAGCAAUGCAUUCACUAGUAUUUUAUUAAUUAUAACUGUAUCAUGUCAGUAUUGGAAUAUUCUUUUUUCUAAUAACAGCAAAUAAAUUGCUCCUGGAUUGUAUAAAUAUAAAUAGGCUUCAUUUUACUAAAUUUGUUCAACCCAUUACAAUAUACAGUGUGAUUGAUUUUAGUUUUUGAUGUGAUUGUGACAAGACAGAACACGUCUAUUGAUUUCUACAUUAAACAACAAGAUUAAUGUAUAUAUUUCAAGUAACUACUUUCCUGUCCAUUAUAAAAUCCAUUAGAGACAAUGUUUCAAAUUAUUUCAGUAUGAAAAAAGAGAGCUAAUUUCAUAAUAAUAACAUUUUUUUUUUAAAAGAAUCUCCAGGAAAUAUAAUCUGCAUUUAUUAGAUAGGUAUCAACCAUAAUAACGAGACCUUAACUGGUAAUAUGCCUCAGUCAAUUUUUGUAUUCCUAUCUUAGGCCUCGAUUUAAUAUUUUUGGAUAUACUUUUCAAAUGUUUUUUUUUUUUUUAUUCUUUAUUUGUAUUGUGGCAGCAAAACAGUAAAAUAAACAGUUGCCACAUUUUUAUAAAAUGAGUAUCGUCUCAGUUUCAGUAAUAUAUAAUAAUUAAUUCAAGGUGAAACAUAGAUAAGGAUAGAAAAUUAUAAGUAUGGGUAUGGUAGGGGCGGUGAGUAUGUCCUGGGCUCUGAGGCUUCCCCUCUGUCUGUGUUCCGAACCCCAUGUCUCUACCGUAUUUUAAAAUACAUGUUGUCCGCUGAAGUGGUGUGCUGUGUCUGGGUCUUUCCCUGUCCUGCCCGUCUAUUUCUUCUGCCUUUCCUGAUUGUCCUCUCUCCAUGCGGUAAUUGUUCCCCCUCAGGUCCCCUGUCCGUCCCAUAUUCCGUACUUGUCUGAGUCGCGUGUGGGUGGCUGUUCUGAUUUUAAUCAGUGAGCAUGUUGGGGGUUGUCUCGGUCCGACCCGUGGAGGGGGCCCUGGGCACAAUCCCUCUCCAAUCUGCCCACCCUGUUCCCUAGAUCGCCCGAGUACCUCUGCUGAAUAUGUGGGCACUGUGUGUGCCCUAGUCGUCAAAGGGUGCUUUGCUCUCGUCUAAUGGUAGUCCUGCCCCUCCCCCUUGGGUCUGCCCUGUAACACCCUAUCCCUCUGCCCAUUGUACCGUGUUGGUCCCUCAUUCUUCCAUGCAGUCCCUGCUAUACAUAUGAGGGCCCUUUGCGGGAGUCAGUGGGAGAAGUGUAGCCGAUGAGCCUAAUUCUGCCCAUCAGGGGCGGUCUGCUUGCAUAUGGAGUAGGAGGUUAAGUAAAACAAGCAAAGAGAGGAAAAAGCAAUAAAUAUCCACAAACAUGAAAUAAUUUGAAACGCAUAUCUAAAAUAUUAAAUCAUGGCCUUAGUUAGGAAGGUUAGGCAGGUUAGGCAGGUAAAUUCUGCAAGUUAAUAUUCCCUACUAGACAUUUUACCAGUCUACCUAAAUGAGUAAUGCAACAUAAACCCACAUAAAAAGAACAAAAAUUAUACAUUCAUUAUGGUAAAUAGUUUUCCACAGCUUCGGAAAGACACAUAUUCCUUAACUGCUCUAGUCUGUCUGUGGAAGCUUAAUUAGUUUGGUUGCUGGCCAAGUUAAAAUAAUCUACAGUGAUUUGUCCUUAAACCUCUGGCAAUAAAGACAUUUCUGUGAUUACAGAUUGUUCUGCCAAUUAAUCUUUUUAUUUUAAUUAAAAUUGUUAUUUGUGUUACUUACAAAUGUAAAUGUCAUUAAUUAUUUUUGCAAACAUAGCACUCAUUUAAAGAAGGAAUUUAAACUUGUGCUAAUUGUAAAUGUAUUAUUUCCGAUAUAGUGCAGUAUUUUAAAUUUUAAAAUAAAAAAACUGCCUCUAUACCUUAUUUAUAAGUGAGUGCAGCCUUCUUGGUUUCAUAUGGUUUCAUAUGGUUUUAUAUAUAUAUAUAUAUAUAUAUAUAUAUAUAUAUAUAUAUAUAUAUAUAUAUAUAUAUAUAUAUAUAUAUAUAUAUAUAAAUAAAGAGAAUAAAUGAAGAGAGAGCACUCAGUGGAUUUUCUCAAAUAUGUAUUUGUGAAAAAAAUUAGAUGAUCAAUGUUUCAACCCAGAAGGUCUUUAUAUAUAUAUUUAGGAGUCCUUUGGUUUGCACCCCUCCCAGUCACAGGUGCCUCAUUCCAGGGCCCUACAUAACCUUCCACUGCAGAGAGUCCUCCCAGGACAUGCAUUUUCUAAGUCCAUGGAUUAAUCUCAUAAGAACAGGCAUUAGGUUGAUAGGAUAGGACCUGCCAAAAUUUAGGGAAAUUAGCAUUAUGGCAGUUAUGGCAGUUAUGGCCACUCUCACAUCCAUGUGCACGUUCCUGUAGCUCCAGCCCACUGGAAUACUGGUGUACUGCCUUGGAAAAAAAUGGAAAGUCUCUACUUGGGAAAGAAGGGAGAGGUUGCAAAGAAUGCAGACAGUAGGUCUGAAGCUUUUGCAAGCUGUUUCUUUUAUAUACCUCCAAAGAAAACAUGCAGUAAAAAAAAUGCAUGCUUGUUUUCUUUGGGGGUAUUUGUACAAAAUUGCUUAGAAAAUAAAUAAAUCAUGUUACAAUUAAUUUUUUCUUUAAGAAAUAAUACAUUUUGUUUCAUUCAUUCAUUCAUUUUUUUUUAUUUAUUGUGUAUUAAAAAUAUGAUGGAUGAAUGUGUGACCAUGAAUUACAAUUUAUUGAAAAGACUGACUAUCACCAUCCCAAUGCCUUGCCUUGUGCAAUUAUUUUUAUAAACAAUCAUCUUUGUAUAUCACACCAACCUAAUUUUAUAUGUUUUUAAUAUAAUAUAAUGUAUUUUUUUAAUAUAAUGUAUUACACAUCAUUAAAUCUAGGAGUAAGCUACACUGAAAAAAGUAAUUAUUUCACUUUUUUGUUCUUUUCCUGAUUUUAUAUUUUUACAUUUAUUAUUAACACUUACAAGUGAGUUCAGCUAAUUGUGCAUUCAGUGUUUAAAAAGUUACAAGAGAAUUCAUGUUUUUUUUUAGUACAUACUGAUUGAGUUUGAUUAAUGUAUGUUUUAUCAUUGUCUUGUUUCUGUCUGCUUCUUUUUAUCUUUGUCUUUCAACUCUUCAUGUCCAUCCUUUUAUUUGAUUGUUUGUUUUAGAAAACACAGGAUAAUGUACAGAAUAAAGGAAGCAUACCAACACAGGAACAGGCUGAGUAAAUAUCACCCAAAUCGUCUGGUUCAAAUUACAGGCCAUCAUGGGCAAUUGUGACAGGGAAUUAACACCGCCAAUCCUAGCGUCAGAACAAAG
rnacentral:lncRNA from 1 species